rnacentral:rRNA from 1 species
ANNGNNGAGNCUGCNGUCGACGAUUCCUACGGGAGGCAGCAGUGGGGAAUCUUGGACAAUGGGCGCAAGCCUGAUCCAGCCAUGCCGCGUGAGUGAUGAAGGCCUUAGGGUCGUAAAGCUCUUUCGCCAGGGAUGAUAAUGACAGUACCUGGUAAAGAAACCCCGGCUAACUCCGUGCCAGCAGCCGCGGUAAUACGGAGGGGGUUAGCGUUGUUCGGAAUUACUGGGCGUAAAGCGUACGUAGGCGGAUCAGAAAGUUAGGGGUGAAAUCCCGGGGCUCAACCCCGGAACUGCCUCUAAAACUCCUGGUCUUGAGUUCGAGAGAGGUAAGUGGAAUUCCGAGUGUAGAGGUGAAAUUCGUAGAUAUUCGGAGGAACACCAGUGGCGAAGGCGGCUUACUGGCUCGAUACUGACGCUGAGGUACGAAAGUGUGGGGAGCAAACAGGAUUAGAUACCCUGGUAGUCCACACCGUAAACGAUGAAUGCCAGUCGUCGGGUAGCAUGCUAUUCGGUGACACACCUAACGGAUUAAGCAUUCCGCCUGGGGAGUACGGUCGCAAGAUUAAAACUCAAAGGAAUUGACGG